GUUAGAGAGAGAGAGAGACCAUCUGGGUAGGGGCUGAGUGGUUAGAGAGAGAGACCAUCUGGGUAGGGGCUGAGUGGUUAGAGAGAGAGACCAUCUGGGUAGGGGCUGAGUGGUUAGAGAGAGAGACCAUCUGGGUAGGGGCUGAGUGGUUAGAGAGAGAGACCAUCUGGGUAGGGGCUGAGUGGUUAGAGAGAGAGACCAUCUGGGUAGGGGCUGAGUGGUUAGAGAGAGAGACCAUCUGGGUAGGGGCUGAGCGGUUAGAGAGAGAGACCAUCUGGGUAGGGGCUGAGCGGUUAGAGAGAGAGAGACCAUCUGGGUAGGGGCUGAGUGGUUAGAGAGAGAGACCAUCUGGGUAGGGGCUGAGUGGUUAGAGAGAGAGAGACCAUCUGGGUAGGGGCUGAGGGGCUGAGUGGUUAGAGAGAGAGAGACCAUCUGGGUAGGGGCUGAGUGGUUAGAGAGAGAGAGACCAUCUGGGUAGGGGCUGAGUGGUUAGAGAGAGAGACCAUCUGGGUAGGGGCUGAGUGGUUAGAGAGAGAGACCAUCUGGGUAGGGGCUGAGUGGUUAGAGAGAGAGAGACCAUCUGGGUAGGGGCUGAGUGGUUAGAGAGAGAGACCAUCUGGGUAGGGGCUGAGUGGUUAGAGAGAGAGACCAUCUGGGUAGGGGCUGAGUGGUUAGAGAGAGAGAGACUAUCUGGGUAGGGGCUGAGUGGUUAGAGAGACCAUCUGGGUAGGGGCUGAGUGGUUAGAGAGAGAGACCAUCUGGGUAGGGGCUGAGUGGUUAGAGAGAGAGACCAUCUGGGUAGGGGCUGAGUGGUUAGAGAGAGAGACCAUCUGGGUAGGGGCUGAGUGGUUAGAGAGAGAGACCAUCUGGGUAGGGGCUGAGUGGUUAGAGAGACCAUCUGUGUAGGGGCUGAGUGGUUAGAGAGAGAGACCAUCUGGGUAGGGGCUGAGUGUGGUUAGAGAGAGAGAGAGAGACCAUCUGGGUAGGGGCUGAGUGGUUAGAGAGAGAGACCAUCUGGGUAGGGGCUGAGUGGUUAGAGAGAGAGACCAUCUGGGUAGGGGCUGAGUGGUUAGAGAGACCAUCUGGGUAGGGGCUGAGUGGUUAGAGAGAGAGAGACCAUCUGGGUAGGGGCUGAGUGGUUAGAGAGAGAGACCAUCUGGGUAGGGGCUGAGUGGUUAGAGAGAGAGAGACCAUCUGGGUAGGGGCUGAGCGGUUAGAGAGACCAUCUGGGUAGGGGCUGAGUGGUUAGAGAGAGAGA
rnacentral:lncRNA from 1 species